AUCAGAGGCGUAUCCAGGAUCUCAAGAACAUGGGGGCACCAUUAUUUUCAAAAUAGACAAUUAAUUCAAUUAUAUAGAUUUUACGGUGAGAACAAGUUGACGAGCAAGUAGGUAGUAGCAAUCUUUAUAUAGUAAUAUAUUAGCAAAAAACAUCAUUCACUUACAAUUGUCCUCGACGAGUUUUCAUAUUUUGAAAACGGCCAAUAAU
rnacentral:lncRNA from 1 species